rnacentral:rRNA from 1 species
GUUUAAGGCCAUGCCUCCCUGAACACAACCCGUCUCAUCUGAUCUUGAAAGCUAAGCUUUGACGGGGUGGAGGGUGGGGAGCUGGUUAGUACUUAGAAGGGAGAUCCUGCACCUAUAAAUC